GCCGGCCCCUCCGGCCAUCUCGCUCCCUGCUCUGACUACACCAGCGCCCCACGGGGAUGCUCCGAGCGCCUCCACCUCUUUUCCCUGAGCGUUUUCUUCCUGCCCCUGCUUUCCGUCCCGUCUCUCCCGUCCCCGUCUGGUCUCAGUCUCUGCCCGUCUCUCUGGUAUCGGUCUCUGCCGUCUCUCUGGUCUCUCUAGCUUGCUCAUUCUCUCCUCAUCCCUUCAUAGUUCUCUUCCAUCCCUCUUCCUUAGCCUCCCUCUCCCAUACCCUCCUCUCCCUUUCCUCCUGGACUCUUUCUCCUCUCACCCCUUUCUCUGUCCCCCCAUCUAUUCCCACCCCCGUUCCUUUUUCAUUUUUUCCUUCUCCACCCUCCCUGGCUCCCCUACUCUUCUUUCCCCUCCGUCUCACCUUUUCUCGCCCCUCUCUUGUCUGCUCCUCAAUCUCCUGUCCCUAUAAUCUCUAUGAAGGUGAGAACUUUUUCUGGACCUCAGGAUUUAAGUGUCCAACCUAGCUGAUCUCCCACCUCCCCAACCCCCCCCACACACACACACACAAGGCUCCUCCGCAGGGGACUCGGGUGGGAGAUCUGCAGGUGGGUGCCGUGGGGAGGGACAGCUGCCUGCUUGUAAAUCCGCCCCCUGCCUUCUUCUGGGCUGCCUCUCCUGGAAAGGUGGAAAUUUUGCUCUUGGGAACUCACUCUAGAGAGGCGGCGGUGUGGUUUGGGCAUUCCCUUAAGAGACAAGACCAGACCCCCCCCCCCCACGGCAAUGCCUGUUUUCCCCUCAGAGCACCCCCUUCCUUCCCCGAACCCCUUAGGACCACCACCUCUGGGGUAGACGUUCCAGGUCUUGGUCUCUUUCAGACCUGCUUCUUUUUCUUCAUCCCCUUACCUCACUGCCCCAAGCAGUUAAAUCCUUUAUCAGGGCUAAAGAUUUUAACGAAAUACGAAACGAAGGGCCAAACAGUUCUCCUGAGCCUUCUCACCUAUUGCAUCAGAUGGCAGCUUUACGCAAAGAAACCCCAAAGUACUUGAGAGCAGGGUGAGUGCGUGAUGGUGUUAUCUGCUCGAAUUAUAUGCUGUCGACUGCGGUUGAGUUCUCUGGUGUUUUCCUGAAUCAAUAUUAAGCAUUACUUAAGAAAAUUACAUUGCUGUGUGGGCAUCUUUUAGAUUUAUGAAAAAAUCAUCGUUUUCUUUAAAAGACCCCAAAUGACCUCGGCUUGAUCUUUCUACAGGCGGCCUAUCAGAAGCCAUCACUUCUUCCCUGCCUGGCACUUUCACUGCAGGCUCUUUCACACUAAUCAAAUAAUGCUUGUUCUGCCAAUUUCACUAAAGCUGGAACCCCUGGGAUUCCAAACAAAUAGCAUCCUAACUCCAGCAGAGAAGGUCAGGUAAUUCCUGACCCAUCCUGCCAGUCCUUCUUUUCUAAGGUUUAGGUUCCACACAUUUCCCGAGUUAGAAAUAGCAUAGGUGUAACAACUCUAGAAAAACAUCUUCAGCUGAGGGAGGCUUAGUGCUUUAAUAUCAGAGGUUUAUUUUCCAUCCUGCAGUUACAUGUUGAGUCUGAUGAAAGGUUCAUGUGAUAGAAUGCAAGCAUGGGGGGUAGGGGAUCUCAGUUUUAUUUUUCAAACAGGAUUUAUACAAAUGAAGUGGAAGAAUUCUUUGCAGAAAUGCCUUGGUUAUUUGCUUCUUGAAUCAUUGCUAAUCAGAAUUCUUUGGAACAGUCUGUUAUUGUUUUUCAUUCUUCGCAAUGAAGAUGACAUUGGGGAUCAGGGGAAGAGGAAUGUGUAUUCCCUUCUGGGAUCACAGAGUCCUAACAUUUUAGACUUGGAAGAGAUCUUAGAGAUGAACUGGACCACUGCCUAUAUUUUGAAAGAUGCGAGAAAACAAAGGUUUGAAAUGAGAAAUGGGGAUUUUUUUUUUUAAGAGAGAGAGGGACCUCAGGAAAUUAAAUGUUUCCUAUUUCUACAUUAAUGCUGUGUAUAAUAAUAAUUCCUUUGGUGCCCAUAUGCCAAGCGGCAAUAUAGCAAUGGGCAAUAUAUAAAAUACACGGGUCCUUGUAAGUAUAUUUUCUUUUCUCUGUAUUUAAAAUUGAGAUUCUAACAUACAGUUUGCAAGUGAGAGAUUUCUUUAUUGAAAGUAAUUAUCAACUUUUUCAUUUCUUACUUUGAUAAAAUCCUAACUGAACCCAUUGCCCUCCACCUAGCAUGUCAUGUUAUGUUGUCUAUUCCACAUCUAAAUAGAGGCAAAAUCUCAGCACUUUUUAAAGUGCAAGUUCAAUUUCUUUGCAUUUUUUCAUGCUGCUUCCAACAUACAGCUGUCUAAGAGAGGGUAAUGUGUGGCAUACAUAAAAUAUUCAAAAUGCAAUGAAAGAAAGGAAGAAAUGAAUAGUCAUUAAUGUUUUAGGAUUCUGUGCACAAAAGGAUUCUGAUGGUGUUUCAGGUAACCUGAGGUUGAUUGUCUCUUUAUGUACUUUUGCAAAUUCACUACCUACUGGUUGUUCAGAGCACAUAUGGUAGUUACCAAAUUAUUUCCUCAGUUAGAGGUAAUAUGCUUUGGGAAAGCAAUCAAAAUACCUGAUUAGGUAUUCAAGGAGAACUGGGACAGCUACCAAACCGAUAAUUACUUUAAAAGGGAGAGUCGUUAUAUUCUAGUUAUGUUCUGAUACUUCUCGGGAUUUCUUUUUUAGGAUGCAUUUUCAUAAGCUGCAGAGUUAGAAAAGGCUGGUUUGCUUCUUUUAUAGAGGAAAACAUUCACUGCUCAGCUGAACUUUGUGAAUUGAGGAUACGCUGUUUCUAUACUUCUAGAGAAAUUGUAAAACAAUUUUAAGAGUUUUGUGUGUAACAUAAAAAUAUCUGCUUAACAGUUUUGUGUACAAUAAAAAGCUUAGGUUUAUCACAUCAUAUGAUAAAUUCAGUCAUUUCGUGAGGCUUUUAAGAGACUCUCUGGCCUGUGUUACCAAAAUCUCUUGCAUGUUGCUGUCUGAAUUCUGGUUGUCUUAAAUUAAAUUAAUAUAUAAAUUUCCUCUAUGAUAUAUUCUAUGUAGAAAUAAUGAUAUACAUAUCUUCCCCCUUUGUCUAUUACUAAACCCUCUUUUGACUAGAGGCAUUUUUAGGUAACUCUUAGUUUUUUAUAAUUGGAUUUUAAAACUCUGUACUUUUAGAAUGAACUGGUGAAAAUGUUAAAAGUAUACUUUUAGAUAAUUAUUUGCAUCCUUUAUUAGUUACUGAACCAAAAGAAUACAACCCACAGCUCCAGUGUAAGAUUUUUGCCUUUCAAAAGCUGGAAGAUGUUGGUUUUGAAAUGAAAGUAGCCUGUAAUCCCAGCACAGUGCUUGCACCUAGUAGGUAGCUUAACCUACAAAAACUGCAUUUUCGGACUCUGUAAACCUAGACAAAGUAGCAUCAGCAUUGGGGAAUGCUGGCCAUGAAGAGUGCCAGAGUUUACUGGCUUCCACUCCAGGCUUGGAGCGUGGGACGAUGGCGUGACUGGCCAGGGACCUUGUUCUGUCAGUUGUGUGUGCAGCAGCAGGGUCCCCAAAAGCUGCUUGAUGGUGCACUGACUCAGAGCCCUGCUUUCACUGUGGCUCACCUCCUGAGUGUCCCCUUUUUAGUUAAUUAGGCAUCGCCAGGGGCAGGGAACCAAAUGGCAAUUGAGUGACAAUUCCUCACUCCUCUCCUGGCCCCUCAGAGCCAACCAUACAAUUCGGCAUGCACACAGUGUUGGUAAUAAUAACUGCAGCAGCAGCAGCAGCAGGAAGCAUUUCCUACUUGCUUGUGCCAAACUCUGGGCCAGCAGAGAACAUAGGAUGUUUGAGGAUGUUUGAAUCUCCCUGGUUCUGCUCUUUUGAUGGUCGUUGUACAGGUGAGGAAACUGUAGUUUCACAGAGUCAGGUGGAGUUUAUACAGCCACAUGCUCUCAUAACAGCUCAUGAGUGGCAAGGCUCUGAAAUUUCAUCAGCAUGAGUAAAAGCUGUUGGAAAUGGCAGUCGGGCCAGGUGCCAUCCAAGCACCUUGCUGUUUCCAGGCAGUCGUUUAUUAACUGUGACCAUUGUGAUAAUCCUUUCUAUCCACAGAGAAGAGCUGCUCAGCCAGCCAUCCGCAAAAGAUUCACAGAACAUCAGGACUAAAGCAUCCUUGAGUCUUAACUGUUUGAAUUUAAAAUUGGAAAGCAAUUUCAGGACAAGUUCUGUUUGCCUGACAGUUUCUGGAUGUUUUUUAAUAAAGGAAACUUGUCUAAGUGUAAGGAAACAGUAAAGGGCUCUGCAGCUCAGCUUUGUGAAAUGAUAUGCAGUGAUGUCACUAAAAUCCACCUUAGGUCUGAGAGGGGGCCACACCAUGGUGUCACUGGGAAGCACAAGUGCACACACAUGUGCACACACACACACACACACACACAGAGACAUACAUAAAGCCCAUCUUCCAAAAUACUAGGCCUAGAAAUAGCACUUUACUUAUGACUGUAAAACCAGCAGUCUCAUCAGAAAGAGUGACAAAGAUGAACAGCCUGUUGGGCUCCUAAAAUCUGUGGGCUUCUAACCGGCUAUAACACAGAGAUUUUUUUUGAGACAGGGUCCCCUCUAUCACCCAGGCUGGAGUGCAGUGGCAUGAUCAUUGUUCACUGUAAUCUUUAAUUCCUGGGCUCAAGCAAUCCUCCCAUCUCAGCCUCCCAAGUAGUUGGGACUACAGGUGCACACCACUUUGCCCAGCUAAUUUUGUUUAUUUUUUGUAGAGAUAGGGGUCUCACUAUGUUGCCCAGCUGGUCUCAAAUUCCUGGGCUCAAGCAGUCCUCCCACCUCGGCCUCCCAGAGUAUUGGGAUUACAGGUGUGAGCCACCUCACCCAGCCAUACAACACACAAAAUGUUUAAAGGCCCUGUAUUAGGUUGCUGGGGCUGCCAUAACAGAGGACCUGGAAGUCCAAGAUCAAGGUGUCAGCAGGGCUCAUUUCUCCUGAGUCCUGCCUGCUUGGCUUGUAGAUGCUGUGUCCUCCCUGUGUCCUCACAUGACCUUCCUUCUGUGUGUGUCUGUGUCCUAAUCUCCUCUUCGUGUAAGAACACAGUCAGAUUGGAUUAGGGCCCAUCCUCCUGACCUGACUUUAACUUAAUUACCUCUUAAAAACCCUGUCUCCAAAUAAGGUCACCCUCUGAGGUGCUGUGGGUUAGGGGUUCACCAUGUACCUUGGUGAAGGGAGGAGAAACAAUUCAGCCCAUAACACAACCAAACAGGCAUUUCUUAACCAGUUGCUCAUCUUGUUUCUGCAACUGCUGUGCUAGUUUGAAAAGCAGUAGAUGAAGCCACACGGAGGGAGGCACUGGAUGGAGAAUGUUGCCCGCAGCUUUGAGCAGAGAGAUGGCUGCACACCCGGAGGGAAGCUAGAACAACCUAGAGCAAAAAUAGUGACUGGCAGGGGUGGGUAACGCCAUCUGAUUCGUCCAGGGAGACGUGGAUUUUUGGUAGCGUGCUUAUGAGUCACUGUGUUGUGUCCUGCACUGUGUACAGGGCACGGAGAUUAUUGCCACCACCGAUGACUGUGCAGCUUGAGGUAUCGAUACACUGGACUGUUCAGAGGAAAAAAUAGCUACUUGUUCUUCUAUCAAGUAGGGCAGGCAGGAGGACACAGGCAGGACUGCAUCCUAAAAAUAGCCCCACACCCGCUUGGAGAGCUCCAGCAGCUCAGCCCGGGGUGCAUGGGGCAGCUCCUGGUAGAAGCUACUUUUACUUCACCAUGAGACUUUGAGAAUCUGAACUUGCAGGAAGAGGGUUGUAGUGUAUUUUUGUAUACUUUUCUGAUUUCCCUUAAGCGAUGGGGGAGAUUGGGUUUUCUCUGUAAGGACAGUGUAGGUUCAUGGCUGUUUCUUAGUGGAAUGUGCCCAUGUGGACACUAAGCUGAAGUCUGAAUGAAGGCCUGACACCCACAACCUGGUCAGUGUCUCCCUUCUCAUCGUCAGGAAGAGACUCGUCCACACCCAGGUUUAGAAGGAAGGCAGCCUCACUAGUACCAUGUCAGAGGCAGAUAAGACACCAGCAGAAAUGGCUUUUAUAGUUCAGGAAACAAAACAGACACUUGUGGCAGGGAUUUUGAGCCCCACUUUGGAGCUCCUAGAAUCAGAGGUUGUUGCUGCCCUAGAUGUGUUGAUGUAGUCGGGAGGGGAGAGGACGGCUGGCCACAAGUGUUAGUCCUUUCUUCUCUGCCAGUGGUUCCCAACCCUGGCAGCACAUUAGAUGCCCUGAGGAGUGUGCAGAUUAUUUCAGUACCAGGGCUGUCCCCUCAAAGACUCAGACUUUGUGGUCUAGGAUCAGGCCCUGACAGAGGCUGGUCCAAAGAGCUCCUCAUGAUUCUAAUGGGCAGCCCGGGUUGGAAAAGCUGCCUGACGCUGGCCAUGGUCCACCUCCUCCCUCCCCACCCAUCUGGCAGACACAGCCUCACCCACCAGUAACCACAGCCCAGAGCUUCAGAAGUGGUGAUAAUUAAUCCCCCCAACCUCCCCACCCCACCUGGCUCACACUCCCUGUCCUAGGUCAACCCUGACUCAGCGCCUUCAAAGCCCGACUUCUGUAGAGAUGCCAUCCUAAAGCCAGCCUUCCUCCCUGGACUGCUUAUGUAGACUACGAGGGAGUGUAAACCCUGAAAAAGAAAAUGUAGGGAUGAUUCCCUCCACCCUCGAUGAGACGCAGCUGCGGAGGGUGGUGUGAGCAGACCCUCCAGAGCCGUGGCUGACAAAUUAAUACAGCACGGGAAUCGAGUGCCUCCCGUCAUGCAGGAACUUCCUAGGCAUCAUUGGGGGAUCAGAUACACAUCAAGUGCCUGCCACAGGGAACGUACCCUCUAAUGGGGAGAAGACAAAACCCUUCACAUUUGCUUUUGACCUGCCAAGUGGCUUCACAAGUAUCUUUUUGUUAAUAUUUAGGAAAUAUCCAUGGAUCUGACAAUAGACAGUGGCCUGGGUAUAUAGUGGGGACAUGGGCACAGUGGGGUCCUGGGAUCAGCAGGGUCUUCAGAAAUUCCAAGUGAUGUUCUUAGAGGAAACACUCUACUUAAGGGUGAUUGAGACUCGACAUUAACAUGGGGCAUUAGUCACUCAGUGUUUUUUGGAAUACGGUUUCAUUGCUGAUAAAUGGAAAGGCCAGGCAUGCCCCCACACUGACCAAGAAGUUGUAGUAAUGGCAGAAAUGUUUCCAGUAAUGUCUACACUUUCCUACUCAGUAAGUCGGCAAGCUAAGCUAAGGUUUAAUUGUUCAGUUAUUUUCUCAUUGUUACACACAUCAUUCAUUCAUUCACUGAGCACUGUAGUGACGUUGCCCUUGGCAUUCCCAUGACGACCCUUCCCCAUUCUGCGUAACGUCUGCGACCCUCCCCUGGUCCUCUCCCUGGCCUGCUAAUCCCACAAGGCUGGGAGGAAACCAGCUGAGUGGGAGGACCAAGGACACCGGACUGGGAGAGCAGAUUUGGGACCAAUCAGGUGGCAGAGGAUUGUGAGAUGAGGGCAGGUGUGUCUGCAGAAGCCAGAAGAAGCUGCCCGACCUUGCCCCUUACCUGGCCAGCAGGGCUGGGCAUGGUCAGGGAGCCACACUCACCGAGCCUCUUCUAUUCCUAUUCUUCAGUGCUAGGCUCUCCUCUCCCGCUCUCUUCCUCUCCAGCCCUGUGCUCCUGCCUCGUGGGUGCCUGUCCUCUGCUUGGAUUCCUGCAGUGCCCCCAUCCAGUCUCUCUGUCCCUGUCCAUCCUCCCUGAUGCCACCUGCAUGGCUCCUCUAAAAUGCAGACCUAGCUUUAUCACAUCUGGUUAUGAACCUUAUGAAAUAGAGCUCAAGUUUCCCAGCACUGUACAGCCAUGAUGGCAUUCCUGCAUCCGCCACAGCCCCCACUGAGGCUCCUCUUCCACCAGCCCCUUCUGCCUGGAAGCCCCUCUUGCCCAUCUUCACCAGGUGAGUCCCUGGCCAUCCUUAAAAACCCUGCCCAGAUGCCCCAACUUCUCUGCAAACAGCUCCUCAACCACUCCUUCAAUAAAAGCGAUGACUUCCUCCUCUGAACUGCAGAGGAGGAAGCUCGGCAUUGUUUAGAAAAAGUUCAUUUCUGUGCUUAUCCUGCCAGUUUACAUAAUUACAACUGUAUUGCCCCUUCUCUUUGCUAAAUGUCCAACACUUUGUUUGUGCCAAAUAGAUGUUUGCCACAAGAUCUGUUUCCCUGAGCAGACUCCCCAUCCUCUUCAUUUUGCCCCUUCUUGCGAUGCAACAGGAAGAAACUGAGGCUUGCUGAGGUUGAAUCAUGCACAGAGCUGAGCUGCCACCAGGCAACCAGUCCAGUGCCAGAGCCACCUGGUCCUGAGGAGGUGUCUAGUUGGCAAGUACCACGUGUAGCAUUAUUGUUCCUCAUGGCACAUAUGGAUGUUAGGAAUGCCUCUGCAGUUCCAUGGUGCAUGGUUUUCCUACAAUACUCAGAAUCAAUCCACGAGAGGACGGAUGGUGCAUCCAUCAAGUCUGACACAUGGUACGGAAUUAUCAGCAACGUUGGACAAAUAUAUUGGCCCAGAUUCAUCAUAAGCUCCUUGUAUUGAUUGAGCAAAAUCGAUGAAUGUGUUAAUUGCUUCAAACCGUAGGAGAAAGAUAAUUAUUACAGCUUUAUUUAUUUUGUAUAUGAAAGGGAAAGGCAUUUUAGAGAUUCUGAAAAUAACUCAAGAAAGAAGUGCUUUUUGAACAUAAUUGUUACAUUGGUAAAAUCACUCAGAUUGAAGGAAUGUCUACCUUAAAAUAAUUUCUCUAAAAUAAAUACUAAUUCUUCAUCACAGUAUUUGGCAGGCAUUCUCGAGGUGUUUGACUGAGUUCUUUGAUGAAGGAGCUAAGGAAAUACUGUCUGGUAAAGGAUCAGUUACACGUAAAGUUGAAUUGUCCUCAGCUCACUUGGAAAUUGAAGGGAAAAUUUCCAGAAAAAUAUUUGAAGGGUAAUUCUCAUUUUUUGAUCUUGAAGAUCAGACAUUUGCAAAUAUCAGAAUAUGGAGUUACAGAACUUAUUACAUUUUGGUUCUAAUAAAAAGCUGUGAUUAAUAUUUUAUGAAUUUGGACAUUUUGUGCACAAAAUUAUUAAACCAAUUAUUUUUGCCUUACGGAUCAAUAUGUAUGUAUUAGGGUGAUUACUUAGUGUCAGAUUGGGUGCCCAUAUUGCUUCCCGUAAGAUGUCUGUCAGGAAUUGGAUAUAACUAUACCAAGUAAAGAUCAAUUGCUGCUAGGAUUAAUUUGUGCUGGAGUCCCUCAUGAUUAGUGACAUAUGCUACUCAACUCUGCUUCUCAGCCAAGGAAAAAUAAAAAUACCAUAGUGGAAACUUCACCAGAAUUGAGUGAGUUACAAGCUUAAAUUAACUGUAACUAGUUGAGUAUUAGAAGCCUUUAAAAUGUAACUUUUUAAGAGUCAUCAAAAUACUAAAUGAAUCAUAAUGUAUUUAACCUGGCUUUGUGCAAGGAGGCUGUUCUUUAUCAGAGCCCUCUCCUGCAGCGCACAUGUGCCUGCGUCUGACAGCACCUCUCGGGUGGGAGCCUUCCUCCUCCAGGUUGGGUGGGAGAGAAGAGCACAGCAAAGCCAGGGGCCUUGUCCACAGUAGCGGGUUAGGAUCCUCCAGGGGAAGUGCCUUCAUCCAAUGUGAACAAUGCCUAAAACUAAUGCAGGAGAGCUGCAGAGACUGGUGGCUGUGACCCCACCCCUCCAGAGCCCUGCUGACUUCCUUUGAUCUCUUUCAUAAUGUACCCUAUGAAACAUCAUUAUCUUAGAGAACUCAUACAAGACUGCUACUCUAACUAUAAAGAUAAAAAUUUCACAACACUUAAAGGACAUUACCGUAAGUCACAAAUAAAACUGAUCUAAUAAAAAGUGAGUUGGAACUGAA